UGGGGAAUAUUGGACAAUGGGGGCAACCCUGAUCCAGCGAUGCCGCGUGGGUGAAGAAGGCCUUCGGGUUGUAAAGCCCUUUAGAUCGGGAAGAAGGUUAUCCGCUGAAUAAUCGGGUAAUUUGACGGUACCGGUAGAAUAAGCACCGGCAAACUCUGUGCCAGCAGCCGCGGUAAUACAGAGGGUGCGAGCGUUAAUCGGAGUUACUGGGCGUAAAGGGUGCGUAGGCGGUAAGAUGUGUGUGAUGUGAAAGCCCCGGGCUUAACCUGGGAAGUGCAUCGCAAACUAUCUAACUAGAGUAUAUGAGAGGGUGGCGGAAUUUCCGGUGUAGCGGUGAAAUGCGUAGAGAUCGGAAGGAACGUCAAUGGCGAAGGCAGCCACCUGGCAUAAUACUGACGCUGAGGCACGAAAGCGUGGGGAGCGAACA
rnacentral:rRNA from 1 species